ensembl:lncRNA
UGUGUGUGUGUUUGUGUGUGUGUGUGUCUGUGUGAGCGUGUGUGUCCGGCAGAAGUGGCAAAGCUUCAUGCCUCCUAUCUUGCAGCACCUCCCCCUCCCUCGCUCCCUUUUUGUGUUCGCAGGGAUCUGAGGAACGAUCCCUUCAUAUCCAUUCAAACGCACAUGAAUUUCCAAAUGCCUGUUUCCACUACUUGUCAAGGUUAAUAGCCAUCAGUGAUAAGAGCCUGAGGCACUUAUGAUCCUCAGGACACCACAUCGCCCCUUGUGGUCGCUCUUAAGUGUGGACAGAAUCUUGUGCCAAGUUUCAUCCAGGCAUUUGCGCGAAAAUGGAGGGAAGAAAGAGUUGUUUUAGGACUAUUGUGUUUCAGGUUCAUAAAGCAAGUCCAGUCCAGCAAUCAAGACGCCUUAAGAAAUGACAUUCCUUGAGCAUGCGCUUGCCAUCCAAGUGUGGGUGACCAAAAAAAUGCUCCCUAAAGGACAUCCCUUACCCUUUCUGGCUGGGACGGCUCAAAAAAAGUGUACUGGUGAAGUAAUGUGUUGUGUUGAAGAGAAGAGACAAUACAGAUUUGUUCUUAAUGGGGCGCUAACUAUGCCUUUCAGACUAAACCCAUAACAGUAAUGAUCCUCCACGUAGCUGCACAGUUAACCCUGCAUGAAUGCACAUCCCCUGUCCCAGAGCGGGGUCGAUCAGAGCACAAAUCGAGUCCGGUCAUUCCAGUGGCCUUCUACAUUCUCAAUGAGCGGAAUCAUUUCCCUCCUUUUUUCCCAAAGAAUAUUAAUAAAUAUGCAAAAGUGAGAAUAUUUUCAAAAUGUUCAAAUGGAGAAAAAAAAGGUUGUUGAGUAUGUUGAUAUGCAAUACUUGUCACAUCUUGUCUUUGUCAGCCGUUCCAUUUGUGUGUGUGUGUGUGUUUGUCUGAUUGGGUAUAUGUGCAUGGGCCUCUGUUAUAGAGGUCCAAACUAUUUCACUCUGGUCCUUCAUCUGCAGAGUGGCAUUGACAGAAACAGGAGGCACAUAUCCUUCUUUGCCUCGCUGCUGGAUUUCCGCCAGCGGUGUGGUGUGGGUAUCAGGUCCCGGUACUCUCUCAAAGGGCCUGCACUGUUCUCCCCCAGGUUUCUGUUGAAAGACAGGGACUUGGCGUGCACCUGAGACACAGAGCUUAAAUCUGGGACCACGCCAGACUCCCAGCUAGUCAAGGCAGGCCAGACUCCUCUGAUGAACCCUUUCUGUGCUCCAUAAAGGUCAAGGCUUUUACUCAAGGUUCUGAGAGCUCUCAGCCAACUCUUAUGCAUGUUGUUAUAAGGAAAUGACUCUUGAUGUUAUCCAAGCUAGAGCAAUUUACAGUUGUCUUCAUGGCCACAGCAUGCACACAGUCCGUUAUGGCACAUGGCUGGCAUGAUUGUAACAUCUGACCUUACUAAUGUUCUGGUCUCUUUAUUAAUCACGAAUGUAACGUAAUAGCCACUCCAGAGAUAUAUGAUUGAAGCAUUGGUGUCAUCAUCAGUGAUGUGUUUUCAUCCCACGUAUGUCUGUAUUGAGUUGAGUGCUGUAGGCAUGUGGCCAUCCAGGCUAUCUUUAGUGUUCAAUAGAAUUUUUUUUUUUAAACCAAAGGUUGUUAUCUAUGGCAGCUUGCGUGACAUGCAAUCAUAUGUAGAUCAAAAAAUAUAUAUAUAAGAGAUACACUGCUGCUGCAAAGUUGUUUUAUACAAAGUAUUUUAGUCUUGAAAGCCUGCACUCCUAAGAUCUGCAAAAAAAAAAAUGACUCCAUUAAGAAAUGUGCUCUCAUGAAACUGUAAAUAUCUGAAUAAAACUACAUAUCAGUA